ensembl:lncRNA
GGGCCAUGAGGAAGCUCUGAGGGGCUUUAGGCAGGUUUGGUUGUGACAUGGUGGCGUGGCAAACAGAUUGGAGCAGGGCAAGAACACAGACAGGAAGACCAGCUAUGACAGCACUGGAGAAACCCAGGCGAGAGAUGCCCCUAGGAGGCAGAUAGCCUAGUGGUUACGGCUUGGAUUCCCAGGUCAGACGGAUCCAUGAGAAGCUCAACCUUGGGAAAAUUACUUCACUUCUCUGAAUUUCUCACCUGUGAGUGGGGAAAAUAAUGGUACUGUCUUCAAAGGAUCGUUCCUGUGAGAAGUUCUGGAUACUACAUACAACCUCUCUGAGCUCGGUCUUUUAUAAAAUGAGGGCAAUGAUUCUUACCUCUUGGGAUUGUUAUAAGAAUUAUACGAAAUAGCUUAUGUAAAGCAUUUUACACUGUGCCUGCAAAGUAUUAAGUGCCUGAUAAGUCAUCUGGUUAUUAUCAUAAUAAUUGUUAUUAUUUGAAUAAGAAGAAAUGCCAUUCAAGGUAGAGAACUUUGUAGAGGGUUAGCAAACUGCUUUUCCCAGAAAUUCAACUGAAACACCGAGAUGUUGUUAGUUUUCUUCCUUUCCUGGCAUGCUGUGACUGAGCCCCAUCCAUUCACAGGUUAUCAGUGACUGACGUUCCUGCUUGUGUGUCUGUGUAAAGCUGUCCUCUGUAGUGUGUAAUAUGUGACAUUGCUUUUGGAAGUGGCUGCCACUGUAGUCUUCCCCAUUGAUAAUUAGAAGAUCAACUUAUGUUUAAAAAUUUGAUUCCACAUAUGAACACAAACAGAGCUGCUACUAAUUCAGGAAGCCUCCUUAGCUAGCCUAUUUACUUUGACCAAUUACCCCUUGAAUUUCCAAUAAUGUCCCCCACAAGCCCUCCUAUCACCUUCCCCUUGUGCUAAUUCAGAUUCCUGUUGAAGUAUCAGAUAAUGCAAUUGGGCCUGAACAGAGCUGCUGGCCACUUGCAUAAAAGAAUCAGCUGUUACCAAAAACAAUUUCAUGGUUUUCAGAGGGAAAUUCAAUUACAAUUCCCAUUUGUUUUCUAAGAAGGCUGAACCUCUUGUUCCCUGGAUCAAGUUACGUGUGGGACUUACCAUCAUCUUGCUUCCAUUAAAUGACCACAGAACUGAAUGACGCCUCCCAGGACAAAGAAAAAGCCCCAAAUGGAGCCCCACCUAUUCUUUCUCCAGCACCAUCUCUUUCCGAAGAAUUUCGUCUGUCCGUGCUUGCCUCACCACCAGCCUGCAGCUUUGGUGUUAUUCUCUCUGACUAACGCUGUCUCCCUCCUUACCACACUUUAGAAUCCAAGAAUCCUCAGAUGACCAGGAAAGUCUUUGUAUCUAACAACUGUGUCCUUCUUGCAAUUCGAGCCUGUUUCCUUGUAUCCUCACUUCAGGGACAGUAGUGUUGAAAUAAAUUUCUAGGCCCAAGAUGGAGCUGCUCCUGCCCGGGAAGCCAUGUCAGCAAACUGAACUCUCAUAUUCCUGUAAAUGCUCCGCUUAACCAGAAAUGCAAUAUAUCCGGUCAGCCAAUCCCCAAACGCCAAGCCAACUCUGGGCUCUAAACUUCUUUCAUUGUUCCUUGAUCUUGCUAAACAAGAUCAGAUAUUCAACCCCAGUCAAUCACCACUGCUUGUGAGGCGCUGGACUCCCCCAAUCCAUGGAUUGUUUUCCCUUGAAUAAAGGACGUCAAACUUGUUACUAAA